rnacentral:rRNA from 1 species
CGGACGGGUGAGUAACGCGUGAGAAUCUGCCCUCAAGACGGGGACAACGGCUGGAAACGGCUGCUAAUCCCCGAUAAGCCCAAGGGUGAAAAGAAAUUCGCUUGGGGAAGAGCUCGCGUCCGAUUAGCUAGUUGGUAAGGUAAAGGCUUACCAAGGCGACGAUCGGUAGCCGGUCUGAGAGGACGAUCGGCCACACUGGGACUGAGACACGGCCCAGACUCCUACGGGAGGCAGCAGUGGGGAAUUUUCCGCAAUGGGCGAAAGCCUGACGGAGCAAGACCGCGUGUGGGAGGAAGGCCUUCUGGGUCGUAAACCACUUUUCUCAGGGAAGAAGAACUGACGGUACCUGAGGAAUCAGCCUCGGCUAACUCCGUGCCAGCAGCCGCGGUAAUACGGAGGAGGCAAGCGUUAUCCGGAAUUAUUGGGCGUAAAGCGUCCGCAGGUGGCUCAUCAAGUCUGCUGUCAAAGACAGUGGCUCAACCACUGAGAGGCAGUGGAAACUGGAGAGCUAGAGAACGGUAGGGGUAGAGGGAAUUCCCAGUGUAGCGGUGAAAUGCGUAGAGAUUGGGAAGAACACCGGUGGCGAAAGCGCUCUACUGGGCCGUAUCUGACACUCAGGGACGAAAGCUAGGGUAGCGAAUGGGAUUAGAUACCCCAGUAGUC